GCCUGGCCCUAAAUCUUGAUACUUACCCUACCGAAGUAUCCGCCAGAGAACUACGAGCACAAACGCUUAAAACUCUAAGGACUUGGCGGUGCCCUAAACCCACCUAGAGGAGCCUGUUCUGUAAUCGAUGAUCCACGAUCAACCCGACCGCCCCUUGCCAAGCACAGCCUACAUACCGCCGUCGCCAGCCCACCUCGAAUGAGAGCGCAACAGUGGGCGCAACAGCACCCC
rnacentral:rRNA from 1 species